UACGUAGGGGGCUAGCGUUGUCCGGAAUCAUUGGGCGUAAAGCGCGCGUAGGCGGCCCGGUAAGUCCGCUCUGAAAGUCCAGGGCUCAACCCUGGAAAGCGGGUGGAUACUGCCGGGCUAGAAUCCGGAAGAGGCGAGUGGAAUUCCUGGUGUAGCGGUGGAAUGCGUAGAGAUCGGGAAGAACAUCAGUGGCGAAGGCGGUCUGCUGGGCCGUUGCUGACGCUGAGGCGCGACAGCGUGGGGAGCAAACAGG
rnacentral:rRNA from 1 species